CUUCCUUGCUGCAAUUCUCCUAACCAAAGAGAUAUAUAAUAUAACCACACUAACAUUUACGCUCCCUCCUCGCGCGCUCUCAAGCAACAAUUCCUUGAUGAAUUAUUACUUAUUGCCCAACCAGAUAACUCACCCUGGCUUCUCGUUGGUGACUUCAACCUCCUCCGGUUCCCCUCAGACAAAAACAACGCGGCUUUUAGACAGACAGAGGCCAACGCCUUUAACCAAACUAUUGAUGAUCUGGCACUCAUCGAACUACCGCUUCUCGACCGACAAUUCACAUGGUCAAACAAUAGAAACACCCCCACCCUCGAACGCAUUGACCACGCCUUCUUCAAUCUAGCUUGGGCAAAUGCCUUCCCCAACUCCUCCCUCACAUCUCUCACGCGUUUCACGUCAGAUCACGUUCCCCUCAUCAUCAACAUCACCACAAUAAUCCCGCGCUAA
rnacentral:rRNA from 1 species